rnacentral:rRNA from 2 species
GCAGUCAGUAGGGAAUCUUCCACACGGGGCGCAAGCUGAUGAGCAGCACGCGUGAGGUGAUGAAGGGUUUCGACUCGUAAAGCCUGUUGUUAAAAGAAGAACACGUAUGAGAGUUACUGUUCAUACGUUGACGGUAUUUAACCAGAAAGUCACGGCUAACUACGUGCCAGCAGCCGCGGUAAUACGUAGGUGGCAAGCGUUAUCCGGAUUUAUUGGGCGUAAAGAGAGUGCAGGCGGUUUUCUAAGUCUGAUGUGAAAGCCUUCGGCUUAACCGGAGAAGUGCAUCGGAAACUGGAUAACUUGAGUGCAGAAGAGGGUAGUGGAACUCCAUGUGUAGCGGUGGAAUGCGUAGAUAUAUGGAAGAACACCAGUGGCGAAGGCGGCUACCUGGUCUGCAACUGACGCUGAGACUCGAAAGCAUGGGUAGCGAACAGGAUUAGAUACCCUGGUAGUCCAUGCCGUAAACGAUGAGUGCUAGGUGUUGGAGGGUUUCCGCCCUUCAGUGCCGGAGCUAACGCAUUAAGCACUCCGCCUGGGGAGUACGACCGCAAGGUUGAAACUCAAAGGAAUUGACGGGGGCCCGCACAAGCGGUGGAGCAUGUGGUUUAAUUCGAAGCUACGCGAAGAACCUUACCAGGUCUUGACAUCUUGCGCCAACCCUAGAGAUAGGGCGUUUCCUUCGGGAACGCAAUGACAGGUGGUGCAUGGUCGUCGUCAGCUCGUGUCGUGAGAUGUUGGGUUAAGUCCCGCAACGAGCGCAACCCUUGUUACUAGUUGCCAGCAUUAAGUUGGGCACUCUAGUGAGACUGCCGGUGACAAACCGGAGGAAGGUGGGGACGACGUCAGAUCAUCAUGCCCCUUAUGACCUGGGCUACACACGUGCUACAAUGGACGGUACAACGAGUCGCGAACUCGCGAGGGCAAGCAAAUCUCUUAAAACCGUUCUCAGUUCGGACUGCAGGCUGCAACUCGCCUGCACGAAGUCGGAAUCGCUAGUAAUCGCGGAUCAGCAUGCCGCGGUGAAUACGUUCCCGGGCCUUGUACACACCGCCCGUCACACCAUGAGAGUUUGUAACACCCAAAGUCGGUGGGGUAACCUUUUAGGAGCCAGCCGCCUAAGGUGGGACAGAUGAUUAGGGUGAAGUCGUAACAAGUA